UUUGCAGGGUUGUUUGUGGAGGGUAUGAUAAGGGGGAACCUUCCUUCAGUCACUUCCUGACGAGGACGCGACUGUUAUCUGAGUCGUGCCCUCGCACCCCCUCAUCACGUCCUAUUAACUGGAUUGG